UGAUAGUGAUAGGGAUAAUUUCUGAGCAUUUCUUUGAAUCCCUCCCAAGCUUGGUAGAGAUUUUCUCUAUCUUCUGUCUGAAACUCAAUAUCUCACUCCUCAAUUG